rnacentral:rRNA from 1 species
UACAGAGGUCUCAAGCGUUGUUCGGAUUCAUUGGGCGUAAAGGGUGCGUAGGCGGCGCGGUAAGUCGGGUGUGAAAUUUCGAGGCUUAACUUCGAAACUGCAUUCGAUACUGCCGUGCUUGAGGACUGGAGAGGAGACUGGAAUUUACGGUGUAGCGGUGAAAUGCGUAGAUAUCGUAAGGAAGACCAGUGGCGAAGGCGGGUCUCUGGACAGUUCCUGACGCUGAGGCACGAAGGCCAGGGGGAGCAAAACGGG